AGUAAAAGUCGUAACAAGGUCUCCGUAGGUGAACCUGCGGAGGGAUCAUUACACAACAAAAUAUGAAGGCCUGGCUUCGCGGCCGGCUGAAGUAUUUUUUUUUCACCCAUGUCUUUUGCGCACUUGUUGUUUCCUGGGCGGGUUCGCCCGCCACCAGGACCAAACCAUAAACCUUUUUUUUUAUGUAGUUGCAAUCAGCGUCAGUAAAAACAAUGUAAUUAUUACAACUUUCAACAACGGAUCUCUUGGUUCUGGCAUCGAUGAAGAACGCAGCGAAAUGCGAUACGUAGUGUGAAUUGCAGAAUUCAGUGAAUCAUCGAAUCUUUGAACGCACAUUGCGCCCUUUGGUAUUCCAAAGGGCAUGCCUGUUCGAGCGUCAUUUGUACCUUCAAGCUUUGCUUGGUGUUGGGCGUUUUUGUCUCUCGUUCUCGGGAGACUCGCCUUAAAACGAUUGGCAGCCGGCCUACUGGUUUCGGAGCGCAGCACAUAUUUUGCGCUUUGUAUCAGGAGAAAAGGACGGUAAUCCAUCAAGACUACAUUUUUUAACUUUUGACCUCGGAUCAGGUAGGGAUACCCGCUGAACUUAAGCAUAUCAAUAAGCGGAGGAAAAGAAACCAACAGGGAUUGCCCCAGUAACG
rnacentral:rRNA from 1 species